rnacentral:rRNA from 1 species
AUUGAACGCUGGCGGCAGGCCUAACACAUGCAAGUCGAACGGCAGCGGGGGAUAGCUUGCUAUCCUGCCGGCGAGUGGCGGACGGGUGAGUAAUGCAUGGGGAGCUGCCCAGUCGAGGGGGAUAACAACUGGAAACGGUUGCUAAUACCGCAUACGCCCUAAGGGGGAAAGGUGGGGAACUUCGGUCCUACCGCGAUUGGAUGCGCCCAUGUGGGAUUAGCUAGUUGGUGAGGUAACGGCUCACCAAGGCGGCGAUCUCUAGCUGGUCUGAGAGGAUGACCAGCCACACUGGAACUGAGACACGGUCCAGACUCCUACGGGAGGCAGCAGUGGGGAAUAUUGAACAAUGGGGGAAACCCUGAUGCAGCCAUGCCGCGUGUGUGAAGAAGGCCUUCGGGUUGUAAAGCACUUUCAGUCAGGAGGAAGGGGUGAUGGCUAAUAUCCAUCAUCAUUGACGUUACUGACAGAAGAAGCACCGGCUAACUCCGUGCCAGCAGCCGCCGUAA